CAUUUCAGGAGCAACACAGUAGGAUGACUAAAGGACGUAACACUUCUGGACGGGAAUUAUAUGUUGAAGAAUUGUUUUGAGAUGUGCAAUAACGAAGAUAUUGGCAUUCUCCUUGCACCAUCAUCUGCGAGCUGCAAAGGCUCUCCACCUAAAGUAUGACAAGGAAGCAGUAGACUCAUCAUUCACGAUGCUUAUUUUAUGUGCUUCCAAGGGAUGCGGCCAAAGGACGACCUGCGGAAUAUUUGUGCGCUCGAUCGGCGCCGCAAUCUCCCGAGCAAAGUUCACCUUUGCUGAAGAUCCAAGCGUAAGAAACUGAAGCAGCAGACGGCUUCAAGCCAUGAUCUGUGCGAAUCACCUUUAUGGGAGCUGCAAAAAAGAAUAAAAAGUGUAUCCCCAGUGUUUAUGUACUUUUAUUAUACUGUAACAGUAUAUUUCUGAACAAACCAUCUGAAACAUGGUGGAUCGGUAGCACUGCAGAAAGCCGAUGAAUGCUUGUGAAAACAUGGAAAUACACAAAGCAGCAUACGAUCUUA
rnacentral:lncRNA from 1 species